rnacentral:rRNA from 1 species
AUUGAACGCUGCGGCAGGCUUAACACAUGCAAGUCGAGCGAGCGGCGGACGGGUGAGUAAUGCUAAGGAAUCGGCCUAUUAGUGGGGGACAACAUCUCGCAAGGGAUGAUAACACCGCAUACUAAUAGUUGAGCAUAAGUCGGAUUAGCUAGUUGGUGGGGUAAAGGCCUACCAAGGCGACGAUCAGUAGCGGGUCUGAGAGGAUGAUCCGCCACACUGGGACUGAGAAACGGCCCAGACUCCUACGGGAGGCAGCAGUGGGGAAUAUUGGACAAUGGGGGGAACCCUGAUCCAGCCAUGCCGCGUGAGUGACGAAGGCCUUAUGGUUGUAAAGCUCUUUAAGCGAGGAGGCGUUACUCGCAGAAUAAGCACCGGCUAACUCUGUGCCAGCAGCCGCGGUAAUAC